ensembl:misc_RNA
ACACAAUCUUAACAUCUUUCCAUCUUAGAAAAUUCCUACCCAGUGCUUCUUUUGUGUUCUUAGCCUAUAAAAGAUAGUGGAGUAUAUUUUAUAGACUGGGUUUUAUCUUUUCCGCAUUCCCAACUGCCCUUCGUUUAAUAGCUGCCAGCUUCCCUUUAGCCUUGGAUUUAAUUAUAUAGGACCAAAAUAUUCUCCAGUAAAUUAGCUUGCUAAAUAUUUUGCCACUUUUGUGAUCUCCCCUGUGAGAACAAGAUUAAUUGCAGAAAUUUACCU